rnacentral:rRNA from 1 species
UCUGACUUGAGUGCAGAAGGGGAGAGUGGANUUCCAUGUGUAGCGGUGAAAUGNGUAGAUAUAUGGAGGAACACCAGUGGCGAAAGCGGCUCUCUGNUCUGUCACUGACGCUGAGGCUCGAAAGCGUGGGUAGCGAACAGGAUUAGAUACCCUGGUAGUCCACGCCGUAAACGAUGAGUGCUAGGUGUUAGGCCCUUUCCGGGGCUUAGUGCCGGAGCUAACGCAAUAAGCACUCCGCCUGGGGAGUACGACCGCAAGGUUGAAACUCAAAGGAAUUGACGGGGGCCCGCACAAGCGGUGGAGCAUGUGGUUUAAUUCGAAGCAACGCGAAGAACCUUACCAGGUCUUGACAUCCCGAUGCUAUUCUUAGAGAUAGGAAGUUACUUCGGUACAUCGGAGACAGGUGGUGCAUGGUUGUCGUCAGCUCGUGUCGUGAGAUGUUGGGUUANNNNNNNNNCGAGCGCAACCCUUAUUGUUAGUUGCCAUCAUUAAGUUGGGCACUCUAGCGAGACUGCCGGUAAUAAACCGGAGGAAGGUGGGGAUGACGUCAAAUCAUCAUGCCCCUUAUGACCUGGGCUACACACGUGCUACAAUGGUCGGUACAACGAGUUGCGAGCCGGUGACGGCAAGCUAAUCUCUGAAAGCCGAUCUCAGUUCGGGUUGGAGGCUGCAACUCGCCUCCAUGAAGUCGGAAUCGCUAGUAAUCGCGGAUCAGCACGCCGCGGUGAAUACGUUCCCGGGCCUNG